CCUACGGGAGGCAGCAGUGGGGGAUAUUGCACAAUGGGGGAAACCCUGAUGCAGCGACGCCGCGUGUGGGAAGACGGUCCUAUGGAUUGUAAACCUCUUUUGUCGGGGAGCAACGAGGCCACGUGUGGCCGAAGUGAGUGUACCCGAAGAAAAAGCAUCGGCUAACUCCGUGCCAGCAGCCGCGGUAAUACGGAGGAUGCGAGCGUUAUCCGGAUUUAUUGGGUUUAAAGGGUGCGUAGGGGGAACAUUAAGUCAGUUGUGAAAGUUUGCGGCUCAACCGUAAAAUUGCAGUUGAAACUGGCAGUCUUGAGUACAGUAGAGGUGGGCGGAAUUCGUGGUGUAGCGGUGAAAUGCUUAGAUAUCACGAAGAACUCCGAUUGCGAAGGCAGCUCACUGGACUGCAACUGACACUGAGGCUCGAAAGUGUGGGUAUCAAACAGGAUUAGAUACCCGGGUAGUC
rnacentral:rRNA from 1 species